rnacentral:rRNA from 1 species
CCUACGGGUGGCAGCAGUGAGGAAUAUUGGUCAAUGGGCGCGAGCCUGAACCAGCCAAGUCGCGUGAGGGAUGACGGUCCUAUGGAUUGUAAACCUCUUUUGUCCGGGGGCAAACUACGCCACGCGUGGCGUUUCGCAAGUACCCCAAGAAUAAGCAUCGGCUAAUUCCGUGCCAGCAGCCGCGGUAAUACGGAGGAUGCGAGCGUUAUCCGGAUUUAUUGGGUGUAAAGGGUGCGCAGGCGGAAGAUCAAGUCAGCGGUAAAAUUGAGGGGCUCAACCUCGUCGAGCCGUUGAAACUGGUUUUCUGGAGUGAGAGAGAAGUAUGCGGAAUGCGUGGUGUAGCGGUGAAAUGCAUAGAUAUCGCGCAGAACUCCGAUUGCGAAGGCAGCAUACCGGCGCUCAACUGACGCUGAGGCACGAAAGUGUGGGUAUCGAACAGGAUUAGAUACCCUGGUAGUC